rfam:Hordeum vulgare subsp. vulgare, WGS project CAJW01000000 data, contig: morex_contig_2552096
UAUAUACUCCAUCCGUCCCAAAAUUCUUGUCUUAGGUUUGUCUAAAAAUGGAUGUAUUUAAAUACUAAAACGUGACUAGAUACAUUCAAAUCUAAACAAAUGUAUGACAAGAAUUUUGGAACGGAGGGAGUAUAAA